GCCCGGGUGGCGAAAUCGGUAGACGCAAGGGACUUAAAAUCCCUCGACCUUUAGGUUAUGCGGGUUCGACUCCCGCCCCGGGCACCA
rnacentral:tRNA from 1 species